rnacentral:rRNA from 1 species
CCUACGGGAGGCUGCAGUGAGGAAUAUUGGUCAAUGGACGAGAGUCUGAACCAGCCAAGUAGCGUGAAGGAUGACUGCCCUAUGGGUUGUAAACUUCUUUUAUAUGGGAAUAAAAUGUUCCACGUGUGGGAUUUUGUAUGUACCAUAUGAAUAAGGAUCGGCUAACUCCGUGCCAGCAGCCGCGGUAAUACGGAGGAUCCGAGCGUUAUCCGGAUUUAUUGGGUUUAAAGGGAGCGUAGGUGGAUUGUUAAGUCAGUUGUGAAAGUUUGCGGCUCAACCGUAAAAUUGCAGUUGAAACUGGCAGUCUUGAGUACAGUAGAGGUGGGCGGAAUUCGUGGUGUAGCGGUGAAAUGCAUAGAUAUCACGAAGAACUCCGAUCGCGAAGGCAGUUCACUGGACUGCAACUGACACUGAGGCUCGAAAGUGUGGGUAUCAAACAGGAUUAGAUACCCUUGUAAUC